rnacentral:antisense_RNA from 1 species
CUCUGUAGGAGCUGCCGAAGGCUGCGAUCUUUUGACUUUGAAGAUCAAAAGAUCGCAGCCUUCGGCAGCUCCUACAUAA